AGAAACUGAGGCAUGAAGAGCUUAAGUAAAUAUACUGGACAAGAUCUCAAUUCACUUAGUAAGUGAUGAAGCCAAGAUUCAAAUCAGGAAGUCUGAGUCCAAAGCCUCUGCCCUUCGCCACUUUUCUACCUGGUUCUUGAGGUCAAUGGAGCGAGAGACACUGGAAGCUGGGAAGCUCUUGAGACUCUGUUACUGUCAUCUAGGCUUCCAGACACCGACAUCCGGGUCAUACAGAGAUGCUGGCCCCAGCCCAUGGUCAGCCACCUAAGUGGGAGCAUAAAGGAAACGACCAGCUCCAGGCUCCAGCAGAGACUCGUCUAUACCUCUAAUGUGAGUUAGGAGUAACCAAUCAAACCACAGCCCCAAGUGAAGCAGCAGAAAGGGAAUGGAGAAGAGUACAGAAGAUAAGGCAUUGAGGAGCCCAGCCUGGUUGAGAGAUGAGAUCAAUAUGCCUGAAACAGGGAACAACAAAAUACACAGACGAGAAUGCUAAUGGGUACGGAGUUUCUAUUG